rnacentral:rRNA from 1 species
UACGUAGGGACCAAGCGUUGUUCGGAUUUACUGGGCGUAAAGCGCACGCAGGCGGCCGAGCAAGUCGAGUGUGAAAGCCCCGAGCUUAACUUGGGAACUGCGCUCGAAACUACUUGGCUAGAGUGUGGCAGAGGGAGGUGGAAUUCCACGUGUAGCGGUGAAAUGCGUAGAGAUGUGGAGGAACACCGAUGGCGAAGGCAGCCUCCUGGGCCAACACUGACGCUCAUGCACGAAAGCGUGGGGAGCAAACAGG